AAAAAAAAAAGAAGGAGAAAAAGAGAGAAAAAGGAAAAAAAAAAUUGCAGAAAAUUUCCCAGAAAAUGAGCCAGGGUUGGUGAAGAAGCCUACUUCAAGACCAAAUUUCGAUCGUGUUCUUGAUCCUCUUGGUUUUCCUUCAGUUUCUGCAUUCACUAUGUUGGUAAAUCUUUAACUUUCAUUCAGAAAACAUCCCGAAAUACCAUCUUCAGCAGUCUCAAAUUUUGGCUCGAAAUUAGCCAGUCGUCAAUACUUAGAUCUUCGUCGACAAAAAAUUUGCAGCUUCAAACCUGUCGUCUGAACGCAUUUCUCCAGAUUUCUCACGUUGUUUUGGCCCCAUAAACAUUAGGAGGUAACCCUCCCUCACUCUCCUUUCUUUUCCAACCUGUUUGCACAUAAAAAUUCAAGAAAUUUGGCCCUUUUUUGGUUCAUGAUGCAGUUUUUCUUUGUGAUUUUGCUGGGUAUUAUACAUUUUGAUGGGUCGGGUGGAUUCUGUUCGAACUAAGAGAUGACAAGGCUUAGAAGUUGAUUGUGAAUACUUGUUUUUGUUGUUUUUGCAAGUUCCGUAGCUUGUAAUAAAAAUCUUGCUUUGGGAUUUCUUAUGAACAAAAAGCCAUCAACUUUCUUUCAUCCGUGAACGGAAUGGAUGUGAUCCAUGGGUUUUGAUGAUUUGAUUUCAUCAAAGUGUUGGGAUAGUUUGAUGCUCGAUGGUUCAAGGGUUUGGCUGAAAAAUGUUAGCUUUUGAUAAACCCAUCUAGGAUUCACCAGAUAGCUAGUUUUGUUUUCUUUGUCGUUGCAUGUUCUUUCAUUUGGUUCCUCAUUUGAUCUUCAAUGACUUGUUUCCUGCAGUUGGGUUGUGUUAAUCUAAGAGUGUUGAAGUAAUGGGUUUUGGUUAAUGAAUUUGCUAGUUUUGGCUUGAAAUUGAGAAGGAUGUCUGAAUAAGUUGCAAAGUAGCAGUAGGAAAUUGCAGAAGAAAGAGAGCUUCUCGGAAGGCUACAUGAAAUAUUUCCAAAAAUUGUAUUUUGACCCCCGAAUUGUUGCUUAAUUUUGCUAUGGCACAAAACAUAUGGAAAAAUCAAUCAAUUUUACUAUUUUUGAAAUUCAAUCAUUUUCUUAUGUUUUAGUCAUAUUUUAGACAAUUUUAUUUUUUGGUUUAGGAGAUAAUUAGAGCUUAAUUAGUUUUAGAGUUUUAUUUUGCUUUGAUUUUGACCCCUAACAUUUGUGAUAAUUAUAAUUGACCCCCAAAACUUUUUCAAUGUUUCAAUUAGGUCCCUACUUGUUUUAAAUUCUUGAAUAUAGGUUGCUUUAAUUGAUCAAUUUCAUGAUUAUUUUCAUUUCUUUACUUGUUAUUGCUUUUAUUUGUUAAUUAAAUUGGUGUCUUGAUAAUUUUUGUUAAUUUUGGAAUUAAAUAGGGCAAAUCCAAUCCCCCAUUAGCUACUACGUCAAGGGAGAUAUUUUCUUGUGUUAUUUUAAAUCCUCCUAUGUGCUCCUAUGUGAUUUUAUAUGUGUAAUUGCCUAUUUUUGAAUGUUUAUUUUAUUUUAUUUAUUCACUUUAUUUGUUUUUAAUUUUGUAUAUUUAUUUUAAUUUAAUUUUUGAUUAUUUGAGAGUCAUUUAAAUGCCAAAUUGUAAUAGAUAGGGAGUUCAAGACAUGUAUUUAGCUAGUUCACGUAAUAGAUAGGAUUUAAUUCUUGAUAAAAAUGUAUUUAGCUAGGUUAUUAUUUUAUUCUUUCCUCCCUUAUAUUGUAGUUAGGGUCUCGAAUGUAAUAGUUAGGUCUCUAUUUGCUUUUAUUUGCUUGUGUGGAUGCAUGCUUAUGUGUUUACGUGUUUACUCACUUUUUUAAGGUCUUUGCAUCUAAAUACCAUGUUUAUGUGCUAUGUGCUCUAUGUGAUUUAUGUGUUUACUUGCUUUUAUUAUGUGUUAUAUGAUUUAUGUAAAUAUAAUAAAUACAUGACGUCACCACACUAGUCCAACACUAGUUGUGGCUACUCUCCUCGAUUUCUCACUAGUCCAAUGGUAGUGAAUACUUUUACAAAUGGGUUAGUCCAAUGCUAGACCCUUAGAGACCGUCCAGGCGCUAGACCAUAUUUAUGUAACAAUCACUACAUUUCAUGCAUGUUUUCUAUUUUUUAGGAUCCUUACCAUUUUUUGCAUGAUAUUUUCUCUAUACGUAUAUCCCUUAUCCCUAUGUGAGACAUGACAUUAGAUUUGCAUUUCAUUUAAGGAAAGUUAAAAAUAGGUUAGAUCAUUUGCUUGAUUAGAUUAGGAGAGAACCCUUCAAAUAUGAGAUAUGGACGAGUAUGGCUUUUUAGCCUUAGCACGCUUGUAUCUCCUCUAUAAAAAAGGAAAAUCUAGUCACGAAUCUUAGUUCCCCGCACCCGUCAUGUUGCAUUUCUCUUUUAGAUCACGUAUAUAUUAUAAUUUUUUCGUUUCUUCGAGUCACACUCUUUGCAUACUCGUGACCUCUUCUAAGAGUCAUUUUGGACAUCACAAUUAAUGUGAUUCGUACCAAUUAAACUUUGAAAAGAUAUUUCGAUCCUCCUGAUAUCCAUUAGGUUUAGGUUUGCAUCCAUAGAGUAACAUCCAAAUGUGAUAAGUUUUAUAGGUUAAAUUAAGAAAAUUUUCGACUAAAUCACGCAACUAGCCUUGGUUAGGUUGAAAGGGUGUUUUGGAUUUUAUCCUUGUCUUCCCUUUCUUAAACCAUGACUCUCAAACUUCUUUCUCUUAUUUUUCGAAGAUUUGGAGUCAUUUAAAAAGGGUUUUCUCUAUUUUUUAUUAAAAUAUAUUUUUAGGUGACUUAGUACACCUUAACUCAAUACUAAGUGACGACUCUUUUUUUUUUUAAAAUCCUUUUUAAACUAUUAUUUUGGGCCAAAAUCACCCCACUUUUUAAGUCCCAUUUGAGGCCCUUUUUCUUUAUUUAUUCUCUAAAAAUCAAAAACUCAUUUUUUAAUCAAACUUAAUCAAAAAUUCAUUUUUAUAAACCCAUAAUUUUAUUUUUCCAAAAAAUGGGGCUUGCCAACUAUGUAAUGUAAUUUCUUCAGUUUAGAUUACAAAUUAUAAACAUUUUUUAUACCAUCCUAUGCUAAUUUCUUGCACAGUAUGCAUCACACUAUUCAUCUUUAUCAACCUAUAAAGUAUAAAGGAGAAUGCAAUUGUGGUGGGUGUUGGAUUUUUUUUUCUGCUGAUGCGACAGCCACUAAUUCGCUGGGGUAUGGUUGUUUGGUUGAGGCGAGAAUUGUUUGACCCUUUUUCCCAUUUUUUUAAAACUCUUGUCUUGGUUUGCCAGACGAUUGUAGUUAGUGGUGCCAAGAAACACAAAAUGGGUUUAAAUUGCUGGGUUUUGUAUUGUUACUCUUAUUUACUGGCUACAUUUAAUGCUAAGUGGCGGCCUUAUUGAUUGACAGCUGUUGACAUGGGUGUUGGGCUCAAUAUGGGCAACCCUAUUUUACAGUAAUGCGCAUCCUUUGCAUAUGGAAUUAUAUGCAUUUUAAUCAUCGACUGUUAAUGUUACCUUACCUAUAUUUGUAAUAACACCAACAACUUUCAUUAUGGAUCUGCCAAAAAAUUGCUUUUUGGCUCUUGUGUGAUUGAGGUUGAUUGCUCUGGUCUGUGUUCCAUAUAAUUCAAUAGAGGAGGCAAUUUUUGCCAUCCAGAAUUUUACCUUUAAUCAUGAUAAUUACCAGUAUUUGUGCUAUUCAAACAAUUUCCUCACUUUUGCUUUGGGUUUUUUUUACCUCAUAAUUAAUCAGCUUAUCUCUUUCUUUUUCCCUUGCUUCCUUGGAAUUGCCUUCUAGCUAACUAUCGCCGUGGAGUUUCAUCUAUAGCACUACCAUUAUCAUUAAGUUGCUUUGUAAGUUUAAUGUGCUACUGAAAUUUUUUUUUUGUAAAGUCAACAUUACUGUUCUAUUGUAUGAAUCUUUCUUUUGGUGAUCCUUUGCCAUUCCAUCGUUUAUGCACUUUUUCCUGCUACAAAUUUUGUUUUGGUUAGAUUUUGCAUUUAAGUCUUUGCUCUGUUUCAUAUAUAUAUAUAUAUAUAUAUAUAUAUAUAUAUAUAUAUAUAUAUGUAUAUAUGUACAUAUGCAUGUAUAAAUAACCAGAAAAGGUAUUACUAUACUCAAAGAACCUACCUUAGAAAUAACAUUAGAGUUACAAGAGAAGCAUGGUGGGACUAGACAAUUAGAAAAAAAAAAGAAAAAGAAGAUAUAAAUAUAGACAAAUUUUUAGAUAUAAUCCAAAAGAAAAUAAUAGAAAAAGAAUGCAAAUGUAAAAUACCAGGACAAUGUAAAGAACUUCUAGAAGAAAACUUAGGAUUAAAGUUAGAAGAAAUUUAUGAUGAAUUAGAAUCUGUAUGGAACUUAUAGACAAUAAAAAACAUAUAAUCUACUAGAAACAAGGAUAGAAGAAAUUGAUAAAAUUAUAAGUAAAUUAGAAAUAUUAGGAGAAAAUCCAACAAAGUUUUGGAAAGAAGAUAAAAUAUAUUGUAAAUUAGAAAUCUUAAAUCCAAAUCUAAAAAUUUCCAUAGAAAAAAUAGAAGUUAGUAAUAAAGAAAUCAAAGAAUUUGAAAUGCAUAUAGAAGACCUUAAAAAAUUAAGAGUAAUAAGAAGAAAUGAAAGUCCACAUAGAAGCGUAGCAUUCAUAGUUAACAAACAUAGCGAAAUUACUAGAGGAAAAAGUAGGAUGGUAAUUAAUUAUAAAAGAUUAAAUGAUAAUACAAAAGAAAAUAGUUAUGAUAUACCAGACAAAAACCAAUUAAUUAGUAAAUAUAUAUUCAAGAUAAAUAUAUAUUUAGUAAAGUUUGAUUUUAAGUUAGGAUUUUGGCAAAUCAAAAUGCAUCCUGAUAGCAUAGAAUGGACAGCUUUUACCAACCCAUUAGGACAUUUUGAAUGAUUAGUUAUGCCUUUUGGACUUAAAAAUGCACCUGCAGUAUUUCAACAAAAAAUGGAUAAUAUAUUUAGUAAGUAUAGUGAACUUGUAUUAGUAUACAUAGAUGAUAUUCUAGUAUUUUCUAAAACUAGAAAUGAACAUAUUAGUCAUUUAAAAUUAGUUUUUACAGAAUUUCUCAAACAUGGUAUAAUCAUAAGCUCUAAAACAGCACAAUUUUUUUUAGAAAAAAUAUAGAAUUUUUAGGAAUAGAAAUAGAACAAGAGAAAAUAAAAUUACAACCCCUAUUAAUAAAAGGAUCCUAGAGUUUCUUGAUAAAAUAGAGGAAAUAAAGAAGUUACAAUAGUUUUUAAAACUAUUAAAUUAUGCUAAGUCAUUUAUUAUGCUAAGCCAUUUAUUAAAAAUUUAAGUAGGAUGAUAGGACCACUUUUUGCUAAAACUUCAUUAAAAGAACAGAAAUAUUUUAAUAAAGAAGAUAUAUGUUAAUGCGCAAAUUAGGCAGUUUAUUUGUUAAUAUUUGCCCCUUUAUUUUGACCAAAUGUUGUGAUAAUGUGCCAAAUUCUACUUAUAUUUGAAUUUUUGUGUGAUUUCUAGGAACUUCAAGUCAAUUGAGGUAGAAAAGGAGAAAUUGAAGCCUAAUUGAGGAAAUUCCAUUAAGAAAAUCUUGAUACAAGUUUCUUAGUUGAUACUUGAAAACCGCUACAUCAGGGAUG
rnacentral:lncRNA from 1 species